UGCCUGGUGGCCGAGUUAGAGGUGAUAGACUGUAGAUCUAUUGACGGAAUUGAGUUUCCCCAGCAA
rnacentral:tRNA from 1 species